GCGGAGCUUGCUCCGCUGGAUCAGUGGCGAACGGGUGAGUAACACGUGAGCAAUCUGCCCCUGACUCUGGGAUAAGCGCUGGAAACGGCGUCUAAUACCGGAUACGAGCUGCGAAGGCAUCUUCAGCAGCUGGAAAGAACUUCGGUCAGGGAUGAGCUCGCGGCCUAUCAGCUAGUUGGUGAGGUAACGGCUCACCAAGGCGUCGACGGGUAGCCGGCCUGAGAGGGUGACCGGCCACACUGGGACUGAGACACGGCCCAGACUCCUACGGGAGGCAGCAGUGGGGAAUAUUGCACAAUGGGCGCAAGCCUGAUGCAGCAACGCCGCGUGAGGGACGACGGCCUUCGGGUUGUAAACCUCUUUUAGCAGGGAAGAAGCGAAAGUGACGGUACCUGCAGAAAAAGCGCCGGCUAACUACGUGCCAGCAGCCGCGGUAAUACGUAGGGCGCAAGCGUUAUCCGGAAUUAUUGGGCGUAAAGAGCUCGUAGGCGGUCUGUCGCGUCUGCUGUGAAAACCCGAGGCUCAACCUCGGGCCUGCAGUGGGUACGGGCAGACUAGAGUGCGGUAGGGGAGAUUGGAAUUCCUGGUGUAGCGGUGGAAUGCGCAGAUAUCAGGAGGAACACCGAUGGCGAAGGCAGAUCUCUGGGCCGUAACUGACGCUGAGGA
rnacentral:rRNA from 1 species